rnacentral:rRNA from 1 species
GACGAACGCNGGCGGCGUGCCUAAUACAUGCAAGUAGAACGCACAGUUUAUACCGUAGCUUGCUACACCAUAGACUGUGAGUUGCGAACGGGUGAGUAACGCGUAGGUAACCUGCCUGGUAGCGGGGGAUAACUAUUGGAAACGAUAGCUAAUACCGCAUAAUAUUAAUUAUUGCAUGAUAAUUAAUUGAAAGGUGCAAUUGCACCACUACCAGAUGGACCUGCGUUGUAUUAGCUAGUAGGUGAGGUAACGGCUCACCUAGGCGACGAUACAUAGCCGACCUGAGAGGGUGAUCGGCCACACUGGGACUGAGACACGGCCCAGACUCCUACGGGAGGCAGCAGUAGGGAAUCUUCGGCAAUGGACGAAAGUCUGACCGAGCAACGCCGCGUGAGUGAAGAAGGUUUUCGGAUCGUAAAGCUCUGUUGUAAGAGAAGAACGGGUGUGAGAGNGGAAAGUUCACACNGNGACGG